rnacentral:rRNA from 1 species
AUUGAACGCUGGCGGCAUGCCUUACACAUGCAAGUCGAACGGCAGCACGGGUGCUUGCACCUGGUGGCGAGUGGCGAACGGGUGAGUAAUACAUCGGAACAUGUCCUGUAGUGGGGGAUAGCCCGGCGAAAGCCUGAUUAAUACCGCAUACGAUCUACGGAUGAUAGCGGGGGACCUUCGUGCCUCGCGCUAUAGGGUUGGCCGAUGGCUGAUUAGCUAGUUGGUGGGGUAUAGGCCUACCAAGGCGACGAUCAGUAGCUGGUCUGAGAGGACGACCAGCCACACGGGGACUGAGACACGGCACAGACUCCUACGGGAGGCAGCAGUGGGGAAUUUUGGACAAUGGGGGAAAGCCGGAUACAGCAAUGCCGCGUGUGUGAAGAAGGACUUCGGGUGGGAAAGCACUUUUGUCCGGAAAGAAAUCAUUGGCCCUAAUACGGUCGGGGGAUGACGGUACCGGAAGAAUAAGCACCGGCUAACUACGUG